UUGCUUUGGCAGCACACAUAUAAAGAUUGGAAUGAUAUAGAGAAGAUUAGUGUGGUCCCUGUGCAAGGAUGACAUACAAAUUCAUAAAGUGUUCCAUAUUUAA